rfam:Phascolarctobacterium sp. CAG:207 genomic scaffold, scf93
UACUCAUCAAGAGCUGGUGGAGGGAAUGGCCCUGUGAAACCGCAGCAACCAUUGUAAGGUGAAAGUCUUGCAAAACGGUGCUAAGUCCUGCGAUAAUUCGUGAGAUGAGAA